UACGGAGGAUGCAAGCGUUAUCCGGAAUGAUUGGGCGUAAAGCGUCCGCAGGUGGCUGUGUAAGUCUGCUGUCAAAGAGCGAAGCUCAACUUCGUAAAGGCAGUGGAAACUACACGGCUAGAGUGCGUUCGGGGCAGAGGGAAUUCCUGGUGUAGCGGUGAAAUGCGUAGAGAUCCGGAGGAACACCAGAGGCGAAGGCGGCGCACCGGGCUGCACCUGACGCUGAUCCGCGAAAGCCAGGGGAGCGAACGGG
rnacentral:rRNA from 1 species